GCCUAGCCCCGAUAGAAGUGAAAAUCCUUUUGUGCCGGGGUUCGGCACAAAAGAUUGUAACGGAUAGCGGGACUUUAG
rnacentral:sRNA from 1 species